rnacentral:misc_RNA from 1 species
CCACAGAUCCUCAAAGAAUAACAUGGAUAGUGAAUUAUGAAGAACACAAACUCCAAUCCCAAUCGUGUAUAUAUACACCCAAAAAGGUACAGACGUGACGGCAAUAAAGCGAAGCUCGUNNNNNGAUCCUAUGGUGCGCACAUCCCCAUUGUAGCAGAGUUUAGAUAGAAUAACAGAGAAAAGGAGACGGGAAUUCGAUUGGCAUUAAGAGAGGGUGUCGACAUAGUUUGACG